rnacentral:rRNA from 1 species
UACGGAGGGUGCAAGCGUUGUCCGGAUUUAUUGGGUUUAAAGGGUGCGUAGGCGGCCCUGUAAGUCAGUGGUGAAAUACUGCAGCUUAACUGUAGCAUUGCCAUUGAUACUGCAGGGCUUGAGUACAGAUGAGGUAGGCGGAAUUGAUGGUGUAGCGGUGAAAUGCAUAGAUACCAUCAAGAACACCGAUUGCGAAGGCAGCUUACUAAGCUGUAACUGACGCUGAGGCACGAAAGCGUGGGGAUCGAACAGG